rnacentral:rRNA from 1 species
UGGAUCCAGACUUUGAUUAUGGCUCAGGAUGAACGCUAGCUACAGGCUUAACACAUGCAAGUCGAGGGGAAACGAUAGAGAAAGCUUGCUUUUUCUAGGCGUCGACCGGCGCACGGGUGAGUAACGCGUAUCCAACCUGCCCACCACUUGGGGAUAACCUUGCGAAAGUAAGACUAAUACCCAAUGAUAUCUCUAGAAGACAUCUGAAGGAGAUUAAAGAUUCAUCGGUGAUGGAUGGGGAUGCGUCUGAUUAGCUUGUUGGCGGGGUAACGGCCCACCAAGGCUACGAUCAGUAGGGGUUCUGAGAGGAAGGUCCCCCACAUUGGAACUGAGACACGGUCCAAACUCCUACGGGAGGCAGCAGUGAGGAAUAUUGGUCAAUGGGCGAGAGCCUGAACCAGCCAAGUAGCGUGCAGGAUGACGGCCCUAUGGGUUGUAAACUGCUUUUAUAAGGGAAUAAAGUGAGCCUCGUGAGGCUUUUUGCAUGUACCUUAUGAAUAAGGACCGGCUAAUUCCGUGCCAGCAGCCGCGGUAAUACGGAAGGUCCGGGCGUUAUCCGGAUUUAUUGGGUUUAAAGGGAGCGUAGGCCGGAGAUUAAGCGUGUUGUGAAAUGUAGAUGCUCAACAUCUGCACUGCAGCGCGAACUGGUUUCCUUGAGUACGCACAAAGUGGGCGGAAUUCGUGGUGUAGCGGUGAAAUGCUUAGAUAUCACGAAGAACUCCGAUUGCGAAGGCAGCUCACUGGAGCGCAACUGACGCUG